GACGUAGGGCGCGAGCGUUGUCCGGAUUUAUUGGGCGUAAAGAGCUCGUAGGCGGCUUGUCGCGUCGUCUGUGAAAUCCCGCGGCUCAACCGCGGGUCUGCAGUCGAUACGGGCAGGCUAGAGUUCGGUAGGGGAGACUGGAAUUCCUGGUGUAGCGGUGAAAUGCGUAGAUAUCUGGAGGAACACCCGUGGCGAAAGCGAGUUACUGGGACGGUACUGACACUGAGGAACGAAAGCCUGGGGAGCGAAAGGG
rnacentral:rRNA from 1 species